CCUACGGGAGGCAGCAGUAGGGAAUAUUGCUCAAUGGGCGAAACCCUGAAGCAGCAACGCCGCGUGGAGGAUGAAGGUUUUCGGAUUGUAAACUCCUUUUGUUAGAGAAGAUAAUGACGGUAUCUAACGAAUAAGCACCGGCUAACUCCGUGCCAGCAGCCGCGGUAAUACGGAGGGUGCAAGCGUUACUCGGAAUCACUGGGCGGAAAGAGCGCGUGGGCGGGAUAGCAAGUAAGAUGUGAAAUCCUAUGGCUUAACCAUAGAACUGCAUUUGAAACUGUUAUUCUAGAGUAUGGGAGAGGUGGGUGGAAUUCUUGGUGUAGGGGUAAAAUCCGUAGAGAUCAAGAGGAAUACUCAUUGCGAAGGCGACCUGCUAGAACAUAACUGACGCUGAUGCGCGAAAGCGUGGGGAGCAAACAGGAUUAGAUACCCUUGUAGUC
rnacentral:rRNA from 1 species